CCUACGGGAGACAGCAGUGAGGAAUAUUGGUCAAUGGGCGCGAGCCUGAACCAGCCAAGUCGCGUGAAGGAUGACUGCCCUACGGGUUGUAAACUUCUUUUAUAAAGGAAUAAAGUGAGGCACGUGUGCCUUUUUGUGUGUACUUUAUGAAUAAGGAUCGGCUAACUCCGUGCCAGCAGCCGCGGUAAUACGGAGGAUCCGAGCGUUAUCCGGAUUUAUUGGGGUUAAAGGGGGCGUAGAUGGGUUGUUAAGUCAGUUGUGAAAGUUUGCGGCUCAACCGUAAAAUUGCAAUUGAUACUGGAAGGCUUGAGUACAGGUGAGGUAGGCGGAAUUCGUGGUGUAGCGGUGAAAUGCUUAGAUAUCACGAAGAACUCCGAUUGCGAAGGCAGCUUACUAAACUGCAACUGACAUUGAUGCUCGAAAGUGUGGGUAUCAAACAGGAUUAGAUACCCUUGUAGUC
rnacentral:rRNA from 1 species